rnacentral:rRNA from 1 species
UACAGAGGGUGCAAGCGUUGUUCGGAAUUAUUGGGCGUAAAGGGCGCGUAGGCGGUGCCACAAGUCACCUGUGAAAUCUCCGGGCUUAACUCGGAGCCUGCAGGCGAAACUGUGGUGCUGGAGUGUGGGAGAGGUGCGUGGAAUUCCCGGUAUAGCGGUGAAAUGCGCAGAUAUCAGGAAGAACACCCGUGGCGAAGGCGGCUCACUGGUCCGGUACUGACGCUGAGGUGCGAAAGCGUGGGGAGCAAACCGG